CAUUCCUGCCCAAUAGUACUCCAUUAACAUUGUAGACAUAUGGCCGGCCAACCUUCGACCCAUGGCAACUGACGCCCAGGCACGGCCCAAAGCUAAUUAACCUAAUUGAAGCCUAAACCCAUCGCACAGCCUAAGCGAGAACCCGAACCUAUUUGCUCUGGACGCCGGCCGACGAAAAUGUUGAUCGGAGCAGCUUUCUGCCAAGAGAUGGCUAGACAGAAAACCAUGAUGACGGCGGGUGAUGCAUUUUCUUCUCCAUUCUCCCAGCAUAUAGGAAUGGCAAGGAACUUCAGUGUUUUGGCGGAGGAGAAGCGCUGUAUGAAAGAUCACAACCGCCGGUUAAUGGCUGAGAAAUUCGAAGUGAAGCGAAAGCUUUACAAAGCCCUCGUUAGAGAUCCUGAACUUCCGAAUGAGCUGAAGGAGAAGCACCGCUAUAAGCUGGCCAAGUUGCCCAGAAACAGCUCCUUUACCCGGAUUCGAAAUCGUUGUAUUCUCACUGGUCGCCCACGCGCCGUCUAUCGGCUAUUUCGGAUGUCUCGUAUUUGCUUCCGCGAAUUAGCUUCGAGGGGUGCCUUGAUGGGCAUCAAGAAAGCUUCUUGGUAGAACCAAAUUUAUAGCCUUUAUGUCAGUGUUGCUAUAUGAAACAAGAGUCUGAACUGGAAUGUCAAAAUCUCUCUACAGAGAUGGGAGUUGUGGCACGUCUUUUUGGAAGAUAAUGAGCAGCUUCAAUCAUUUCGGCUUGGGAUAUUUUGUUGCAAUUGAAUGUCCAUCCUGUCUAUGUAUAAUGCUUUUCGAGAUUCUUGGGUUGUAAUCAGGAGACUGGAUCAGAUUUUUCUCUGCUUUCUUAUUUGCCAUAGUAUCAAGCUGCUGCUAUAUUUUCUUGGGUUAUGUAUCCUUGUUAAAAUUCUUAUCUUGUGAUUACAAUGCUGCUCCUUGGUUAAACUUUCAGCAAUUUUUUUGUUU